rnacentral:rRNA from 1 species
AGAACGAACGCUGGCGGCAGGCCUAACACAUGCAAGUCGAACGCCCGUAGCAAUACGGGAGUGGCAGACGGGUGAGUAACGCGUGGGAACGUACCUUUCGGUUCGGAAUAACCCGGGGAAACUCGGGCUAAUACCGGAUACGUCCGCAAGGAGAAAGAUUUAUCGCCGAAAGAUCGGCCCGCGUCGGAUUAGCUAGUUGGUGAGGUAACGGCCCACCAAGGCGACGAUCCGUAGCUGGUCUGAGAGGAUGAUCAGCCACACUGGGACUGAGACACGGCCCAGACUCCUACGGGAGGCAGCAGUGGGGAAUAUUGGACAAUGGGCGAAAGCCUGAUCCAGCCAUGCCGCGUGAGUGAAGAAGGCCUUAGGGUGUAAAGCUCUUUCAGCGGGAAGAUAAUGACGGUACCCGCAGAAGAAGUCCCGGCUAACUUCGCGCCAGUAGCCGC